rnacentral:tRNA from 1 species
GCCCCCAUCGUCUAGUGGCCUAGGACGCCGGACUUUCACUCCGGUAACACGGGUUCGAAUCCCGUUGGGGGUACUA